UACGGGGGUGGCUAGCGUUGGUCGGAAUUACUGGGCGUAAAGCGCGCGUAGGCGGAUCUGUAAGUUGGGGGUGAAAUCCCGAGGCUCAACCUCGGAACUGCCUUCGAUACUGCAGAUCUCGAGUCCGAGAGAGGUGAGUGGAAUUCCUAGUGUAGAGGUGAAAUUCGUAGAUAUUAGGAAGAACACCAGUGGCGAAGGCGGCUCACUGGCUCGGUACUGACGCUGAGGCGCGAAAGCGUGGGGAGCAAACAGG
rnacentral:rRNA from 1 species